UACGAAGGGUGCAAGCGUUACUCGGAAUUACUGGGCGUAAAGCGUGCGCAGGCGGAUUGCUAAGACAGAUGUGAAAUCCCCGGGCUUAACCUGGGAACUGCGUUUGUAACUGGCAAGCUAGAGUGUGGCAGAGGGGGGUGGAAUUCCAAGUGUAGCAGUGAAAUGCGUAGAUAUUUGGAGGAACACCGAUGGCGAAGGCAGCCCCCUGGGCUAACACUGACGCUCAUGCACGAAAGCGUGGGGAGCAAACAGG
rnacentral:rRNA from 1 species